rnacentral:ncRNA from 1 species
AAAAACCUCGUAGUCUUACAAAAUCUGAAAUACGAGGAUUUCAAAAAAUUUUCUUGCUUUAAGCCUCGAGAUGUAUUUCUCACCUAGAAGUAAUAUGUCCUGUCUUUGCUUGAAUGCUCGGUCAUGGAAUAAUAAAAGAGGACUUUGGCUCUACUUAUCGGUUCAGGAGCUGAAAUAAUGGUUAAGAGGGACGGUUCGGAGGCAUUCGUAUCCCUGUGCGGGAGGUGAAAUUUGCGAACCGCAGGGGGACGGCAAGCGGAAGCAUUUGCCAAGAAUGUUUUCAUUGAUUAAUAACGAAAGUCAGAAGUUCAAAGACGAUUGGAUACCGCUGUAGAUCUGACCAUAAACUAUGCCAUCUAGCGAUCCGAUGUGGUGUUGUUGCGUGAACAAGGAGCAUCCUGGCAACGAAAGUGUUUCGGUU